AUUGAACGCUGGCGGCAGGCCUAACACAUGCAAGUCGAACGAGUGGCGGACGGGUGAGUAAUGUCUGGGAAACUGCCUGAUGGAGGGGGAUAACUACGGGAAACGGUAGCUAAUAACGCAUACCAUAGGAUGUGCCCAAAUGGGAUUAGCUAGUAGGUGGGGUAAAGGCUCACCUAGACGACGAUCCCUAGCUGGUCUGAGAGGAUGACCAGCCACACUGGGACUGAGACACGGUCCAGACGCCUUCGGGAGGCAGCAGUGGGGAAUAUUGCACAAUGGGCGCAAGCCUGAUGCAGCCAUGCCGCGUGUAUGAAGAAGGCCUUCGGGUUGUAAAGUACUUUCGGCGGGGAGGCGUUACCCGCAGAAGAAGCACCGGCUAACUCCGUGCCAGCAGCCGCGGUAAUAC
rnacentral:rRNA from 1 species